rnacentral:rRNA from 1 species
GCCAGAGCCAUAUCUCCCUGCAGUUCUCGCCUGGUUUCCUACUAAAACUGAGCAGCGUUGAGCCUGGCCAGUACCUGGAUGGGACACCUCUUGGGGAAAACUAAGGAUGUUGCUGGAA